UACGUAGGGUGCAAGCGUUAAUCGGAAUUACUGGGCGUAAAGCGUGCGCAGGCGGUUUUGUAAGUCUGUUGUGAAAUCCCCGGGCUCAACCUGGGAAUUGCGAUGGAGACUGCAAGGCUAGAAUCUGGCAGAGGGGGGUAGAAUUCCACGUGUAGCAGUGAAAUGCGUAGAGAUGUGGAGGAACACCGAUAGCGAAGGCAGCCCCCUGGGUCAAGAUUGACGCUCAUGCACGAAAGCGUGGGGAGCAAACAGG
rnacentral:rRNA from 1 species